UUAAACCGUUUUUAUCAUGAUCGUGGUUUCGUGGUUUCCAUCACCUCAUUCCUUGUGAUUAAUUUGCAACACAAGACACCUCAAACAAACGGAAACCACAUCAAAACAGAUCGCAAAAUGGUCUUGUGUAACAUGUUGUCAAAUCUUCUCCACUCACCUCAGAGAGGGCGUAGUGCGGACAAUUGUUUGGAGACACCGCAGACGGAGAGUUUGGAAGACUUAUUCAAGAAUAUGAUUUCUCCCAGGAGUGCCCAGAAAUCUGUCGGCAUCAGCAGUGUUGGUGGGCCUGCAACAGCAGUGAGGAGAGAAAUGGAAGUUCAGCAAACACAGAUGUUCGCUUUUCCACACACUCCUCUUGAAAGCUCACCUUUAUUUCGAACCGUCCAUCCAAAACCCUUCAUGGCUCCAAAGAGAGGGCGUUUUGAGGACGAUUGUUCGAGGACGCCUGAGAUGGAGAGUUUGCAAGAAUUACUCAAGACUAAACUUUCCCUCAGCAUAGAUGAACGUAUGGACACCAGCAGUGUUGGUGAAGAUGCAACAGAAAUGGAAGUUGAGCAAACAGAGACGUUGGCUUUUCUGCACACACCUUAUGAAGGCUCAUCUUUAUUUCAAAGCGUCCAUCCAAAACCCUCCAUGACUCGAAAGAUGAUCAACUCAAACUUCCGCUUUUUGCAUCUUUGGCCCCGACCUUUGACAACGGCUGAUGUUCUCCGUUCCAGUGCAGCUUGGAAAAGCACGACCUUCAGAGCUCGGUGAGGUGGUGAGAAAUUGAAGAUGUUGUUUUGAUAAGUUGUGGUUUUUGUUUACCACCUGAGAUAUCAACAUUCGGUUUAUCCAUAUCAAUGUAUAAUUCGUGUAACUCAUUCAAUUUGGUUAAGCAGGCACAUCAGAGAUAAAAUACAAUGAAGUCAGAGGUGACCAGACAGGAUCCCA
rnacentral:lncRNA from 1 species